AGCAGCCGCGGUAAUUCCAGCUCCAAUAGCGUAUAUUAAAGUUGUUGCAGUUAAAAAGCUCGUAGUUGAAUUUCGGGAUUAGUACGCUGGUCAUGCCUUUGGUAUGUACUGGUGUUACUGGUUCCUACCUUCUGAAGAACCGUCAUGUCAUUAAUUUGGUGUGGCGGGGAAUCAGGACUGUUACUUUGAAAAAAUUAGAGUGUUUAAAGCAGGCUCGCGCUUGAAUACAUUAGCAUGGAAUAAUGGAAUAGGACGUUUGAUUCUAUUUUGUUGGUUUCUAGGAUCGACGUAAUGAUUAAUAGGGAUAGUUGGGGGCAUUAGUAUUCAAUUGUCAGAGGUGAAAUUCUUGGAUUUAUUGAAGACUAACUACUGCGAAAGCAUUUGCCAAGGAUGUUUUCAUUAAUCAAGAACGAAAGUUAGGGGAUCGAAGACGAUCAGAUACCGUCGUAGUCUUAACCAUAAACUAUGCCGACUAGGGAUCGGAUGAUGUUAAUUUUUUAAUGACUCAUUCGGCGCCUUA
rnacentral:rRNA from 1 species